rnacentral:rRNA from 1 species
UACGUAGGGUGCAAGCGUUGUCCGGAAUUAUUGGGCGUAAAGAGCUCGUAGGCGGUCUGUCGCGUCGGCUGUGAAAUCCCGAGGCUCAACCUCGGGUCUGCAGUCGAUACGGGCAGACUAGAGUGCGGUAGGGGAGAUUGGAAUUCCUGGUGUAGCGGUGGAAUGCGCAGAUAUCAGGAGGAACACCAAUGGCGAAGGCAGAUCUCUGGGCCGUAACUGACGCUGAGGAGCGAAAGCAUGGGGAGCGAACAGG